GCCCCCAUAACUCCAGUGUUUGAAUGUGUAGGGAGUGGAUCUCUUAGGACCUGGGGCCUUGUUGGAGUAGGUGUGGCUUUGGAGGAAGCAUGUUACUGUGGAGGUGGGCUUUAAGGUCUCCUAUGCUAAAGCCCUGCCCAGUGCGGCACACAGUUUCCUUCUGCUGACUGCAAAUCAAGAUGUGGAACUCUCAGCUCCUUUUCCAGCACCAUGUCUGCCUGCAUGCCACCAUGCUUCCUGCCAUGACGACAAUGGACCAAACCUCUGAAACUGUCUGAUCCGAGGUCCUCACUCAGGCUGGAGAAGCAAAUACUUUUACCCACUGAGUCAUCUCACUGCAACCUCCCCCAACCCCCCGUUUUUAUUAAGAAAGCAGCUGACAUUACAGUGGUGAGGAAGGAAAGGAGUCCGCAAUUUCUCCUAGAAAAGGCGGGACGGCCCGUGGUAAAUUAAGCACCUCAAAACUGAAAAUUCCGGCCACAGAACAGGAACAAGGAAACUUCCACUGCUUAUAAGUUGUUCAGUCUCUUGUAUUCUGUUAUGGCAGUGUACAACCAACUAAAACAUCGCAUGCGUCCAUCAAAAUGUACUAUUCCCUGCUGGAAUUGGAGUUGACUUGUUAGGAUGUUGCCAAACAUCACAAAACACUGGAUUCUGUCCCCAAGAGCCUACAAGACUAAGUGUGGUGACGUGUGCCUCCACACACCUCCAAUCCUUCAAGGCCAUCUUCAGCACACAGAAUGUUUGAG